GCAUGACGGCAAGGCGAGUACUCGCAGCCACGAAACGUUCCCUGUUGAGCGCGCUAACUGUGAGCGAAAGUCCCUGGACCACUGGCAGAAAGUGUCACCCUCUAGGUUGGGUACUCUUUGGAGUUUUAGUCAUAGCACAGAGACGCUCCUUAGAACAGCAUAGGGCCUACUCUGAUCGUCAUG
rnacentral:RNase_MRP_RNA from 15 species